UCCGGGUCCUGCGUCGCUCCGGAAGCCCAUGAGUUCCGGAAGCCCGAGUAGCCCAGGAACAGCCAAGCUUCCUAGGGAAUGUUUCGGAAAAAGUUAACGUGGAGCGGGGGCGUUUCGCAGACUCCCAAGAUUUGACAGCCGGUCUCUUUGGUCCUCCAAGCACAUGUAGAGGCGAGGAGAGGGAACGACACACAUCCCAGCAACUCGAGCAACUUGGUCACAUUCCUUUAAUGUCGUUCCCCAUCUACAGUUCUGAGAGCAACGAGCAGUCUGGUCUUGAGGGAGAAAAUGGUGCUUUGAUCGCUGCGGCAUUGAACUUGAUCCAGGCUUACCAAAUAUCCAUACUUGUGUGUUCCACAGUUUCUCUAGCAUUUCCCAGAAAUUUACGAAUCGCCAGCUUGACCUGAAACAGGGUGGGCUUUCUCUGUUAAAUACUCAGAAGUAUCAACUUUCUGAAAGAAGAGAUUGAGUGCCUUGCUUUUCUCUUAAAAUGUAUUUGUGAAGAUGAGCACAAUUGGGAUUUCUAACAUCAGGUACCUAUAAACUAGUGAAACUUUGUAAUUGAUGAAAGAAAGCAACAAAACCCUAGUGACAAGCCACUUAGCAAGUCUGUGGCAGAAGUGGGACUUGAACUUACUGCUGUUGCUUUCUCGGCCUAUUCACAGUGCCGGAGGCCAGAGUGUUCUAAUGGGGCUCAGCCAUAGCUUUUUUCUCUUCUGCUCAUGUUCGAAAUGUGUUCUGGGAAUCAGUGUCCUGUUAAAUCCCUGUUUGAUGCAUGUCCCAUUUAUUAGUAUUGAUUUCAAUACAAUGGACAGUAAAUCUAUCUGACUCCACAGAGGAAAUAAUCAGGACUAGGUUUCAAAGCUUAAGAUCUCCAGUUUAAGAACUUUAUUCACAGAACCUCAUGAUGUGAAAUGUUCCUUUAACUUCUUUUCUUUUUUUUUAAACCUAAAAGGACAAAAGUGAACGUACGGGCCCAUUCAUUUUGAUGACUACAAACCUUAGGAUAGUGCGGCAGCAAUAUCGUCAUACUACAAAUUAGUUGAUCAUUGUGCAUCUGGGAAAGACUAGCCUGGCAGGGGUGCAUAUGUGGGUGAAAUACCUUAGGGAUAACUUGGGCAUCAUAUGUCUCUGCUGACGAAGUUUACAGGACUGUAAUUUCAAAUGGAGAAUUUCUGGCGGCAGCAUGCAUUGACAAAUAUGCCUAACGGUAAUACAUCUAGUACUGAGAGUCUCAGAACAGGUCAAUAAUAACGUGUAUAUUGAUAGCAGUGGCGUCGGAGAUGUUACUUGGUAUUGUAGCUAAAAAUCCAUGUUAUCCCCUUAAUCAUAAUUACAUUAAUAUUGACAGGCCCUCGACAAUACCCACAUUAUUAUUGAUAGAUUUCUGUCAAUAACAUGUUUUUAAAUAAAAUAUAUUCAUUCAUAAUUUGUACGGUACUCAGUGAAAGCUCUGUGCUGCAUCCUGGAAAAUUCUCCCGUCUUUAGUGAGAUACAGUCCUGUGUUUACGUUUCAGAAUGUGAUGCAGGUGACAGAGUUUUGUGUGUGGGAAAGAAAAGCAUAGAAGGAAAGCCUGAGUUCUUUAAGGGAUGAGGUUAUAUGUCGCUGCUCUUAGGCAACACAUUUCAGGUUUGUUUGGGGGUUUUUUUCUAUGAAAGAAGAGCAGUGUGACAAGUCUUGUGAUCAGAUGUCAGCAGGAGACCUUCUUGAUAGCUUUUCGUGCUAGAUCACUUUGUCUUAAACAUAUUUACAUGACAAGUUAAUCACACUAACCCUCCUAGUCGCUAUACUUUUUAUCUGGCCUUGAUUUUGCCAUAAGCGUCAUUUUCACAUAUCCUCUCCUCCACUAAACACUGAUAUUAUCUAGUGCCGGUUACUUUUAGUUAAUUAUUUUUAUAAGUCUCUUUUCUUGGCCAUAAAUGUUUUCCCCUGUGGUAGCCUUUUAGAAUCUUAAACAGGUAUAGUUUGGGGAGGGAGAGGGCGAUAGGCUUGUGUAUUAAAAGAGUGAGAUUUCAUGGCAGAAUAGGAAAAAGCAUUACCCGUUUUGGGCAUUCUGGAAAAAUCUACUUGAAUUAAAUCUAAUAGUGUUUGUUUCAAUUCAAAACAGUCCCAACUUUUAAAAUAAAGAUUAGCUUGCCUUUUUUUCUUUUGUUUGUUUUUUUACUGUUUAAGUUUGAGCCUACUUUUGUGGAACUAGAUGCUGACCUACAGGAACCAGUAAUAUGGGGACUGUUAAAGCUUACUUAGAUUCUUGAGAGUAAAGUAGAACUGGCCAACCGUCAGGCAUGGAUGGCAGUCAGUGUGGUUUACGAAAAGAGUCGAAUCGGGGCUUUUUGAUUCAACGAUGUGAGAACACUGUCGUCUUUUUGAUUUUCAUGGCUCUUAAUGAAGCAGGUUAAAUUACUUUGACUUUUUAGAAAGUUGUUAGCGCCUUAGUUAAGGCCUUUGAAAUUUUGCAGGAGUCCUAGAACUGGUCUCCUUGAGCUGCCGUCUUACUGAACUCUGCCAUCAGAUGAAUCCUCUAAGAUUUAUAUCCUGUUAUGUCUCUUCUCUUCAGUGAUUAUUCACACCUGCAACAUCAGUGCAAUUUCCUUAAAAUAGGCUCUUUUCACAGUGUGUGGACUCUUCAACCAGCCCCUCUUGCCAGGGUCCCAGCAGAUGACUUGUUUGUCUGCUUCCACGUAACAAGUGGAAUAACCAAGGACAUGGCCGACGUGGGAACCCGUCCCCGUGUCUCCCAGGCGGACCAUGGCCAGGCGUCACGGCCUGCGUGUUUCUGGGGUGGGCACCCUGUGCCCUUGCCGUAAACACCAUUUUUCUCUCUCCUGCCUCGCGUUUGGCGACCCUUUAUGGUGUUUUCACAUUUCGAGAUCCAUCCUUGCUCAGAGAUCAAUGACCAGUCCUGAUGACGGUAGCAUCCGAUUUCUUUGAAACUGCUUGAAUAAAAGGAAGUGAACUGUGAGUUAAAUAUUUGGAUGGAAUGCCUGGUACCUAGGAAAAUGCCCGGCAUCCAGUAGGCACUCCACAAAUAGUGGUCAAGUGGAGUAGCCAUUUGUCAGAGAAUUAGAAUUCACUAAAACACAAGCUCUUACAUUAUACUGAGAAUAACUUUGUGUGAUUUAUGGCACUUUUCUGUGCUGCUCACCUUAGGGGCAGACAUUGUACAGCAAUGGAGGAAGGAGCCGCCAUAAUCAGAUGAAUUGAACUUGUAGUUAUUUCAUCAGCUCCCUCUACUCCUGGGCACUGCCCUUCUGUAAAGCCAGCAUUCUAGAAGAAAAAGGGAGCGGGCCAAGGAGGAGGAACUGAAUCUAGUGUGUGGGUGAUGAACCAAGGUUGAACCCUAUCUUGGACCAUCUGUACCUCACCCUGUUCAGCAAAGCCCCCCAGAGAGUCAGAUGCUACCAGCAUCCGUUCCUGAGGUUUUGCUCCUUCCACAUAAUGCACAAGCGUGUUGCGGGGGUUAAGUAACCAAGGGAGCAGGUCACCCUGGGACCCAUCCCCAUUCUCGCAGAAUCCCCACUCCCAUCAUGUCCUUCCAGAUAUGUGAGGAUGCCAGGACGUGCAUGUGGGGCGGGGCCUGUUAAGAGUGUCAUGAGUUCCCCAGAACCAGGACCCCCCCACACCUGGCCCCACACAUGCACGUCCUGGCGUCAUCACGUUGACGGUUGAACUGCCACAAUUAUAUUUUCAUGUGUAGUCAGCGCUUUCACCACAGGUUGGUCGAAGCGUUCAUCUGAGUAAUGAUGAAGAUUUCAGUCUUUUGAAAUGAGAUUUGGCCAAAAUCAGCUCGAAGCCUUUUUCUUCUUGUGCCCAUUCCUAGCCAAAGCAGAAAUAAUAAUAAUAAUAAUAAUAAUAAUGCCGCUUUCUAGUUUCCAAACCACUUACAUAAUAUUAUCUGGUUUAAUCUCAGCAACUUUGUGAGGUGGCUGGUAUUUCCAGCUUUUUGAAGCAUCUCAGGCUAAUGACUUCUCUAAAGGUCACAUGGCUAGUAAAGGAGAGAGCCUGAGCUUGCGCCCAGGCCUCACGGGUCUGAAUCUGCUGCUCCCCUUCUGUCGCAGUUGCCUGAGCAGAAAUGUAAAGAUGGCCUCUCCCACUUGACCAAACCACAGUCAUGGGCAGUGUCUGCUCUGUGUUUACCACUGGAAGAAGUCAUAAGAAUGACUACAAUGUUGGGAAAUAAGACCUAAAACAAAAAAACAGAGAAACAAAUUAUUCAUCUGGAAGGGGGAAGGCUAAGAGCAGUUUAAUAAUAGCCUCCUGGUCUGGUCCGGAGUCUCCUGUAGGGAGGAGAGCCGGCCCAGCUGUUCCUAAUCUGCCCUGAGGCCAGGCCUGGGGGGGAGAAGAGGGAAGAAGAAAUGUUAAACUGUAACAGGAGGGAUAAGAACAUUUUUGAUAAUAAAGAUUGUUAAAUAUUGGCUUGGUUAGAGAGUGUGUUAAGUCUCCUUUUCUGGCAGCUAUCAGAAAUUCCUAUCUCUACUAAAUGUCCUUAAGUAUGAUUCAUCCAGAAACAAUGGAUUUGAAAUAAAUGAUUCCUCUGAGAAACCACUCCCUCUGGCCAGUUUCUCAGUAAAUACAAGUAGGGAGCCUGAGGGAACCACAGUGUCCCAUCCAGUUCCUCUAGAAGCUUUCACAAUAUUCAGUCAGUACAUCCCAUCGCUAUCAAAGUACUCAUUCCUUUGCACACAGGUUCAACAUAACAUUUAUUGAACAGCUACACCCAUGUUUAUAGUAAAUUCUGCAAGGCAAUAAGAUAUUCAUCAGCCACAAUCUGAAACUGAUGGUGACGCUAGUACUUAAAAAUACACAAAUUGGCAUAACUGGCCCUCUAAUGCAAGCCGUUAUUCAUCUGCUGCUCAGCUGAAUAAAAUAGCGGUUCAUCUCGGUCUAGGUCAACAUGGAGGCGCUGAAAGGCGGGAGCUUAAUAUUGAUGUCCAGUACGGCCAGAGCUUUUCAAGAGCACUUCAGCCAAAAGAGCUUCCUUUCUCUCACUGACCGCAGAGUAUCAAAUCUGGCAACGAUUUGUAGACACUUACAAUAGAAGAGUUACAAGUACCAUAUUCCCACAUAUGAAGGAGUAGAGCUUUGCAUGACAAAAACUGAAAUAGGUAUCAAAGUCACUUAGUAGGUGGCAGGUGCUUUGGGAAACAAGUGUAAGGCUCUACCCUUAACUAUUUUAUCGUCACGUUAGGAGAAGAUGCGUUUACAUGACUGAAAUCACAGCACAGAUGGUGGAGGGCUCAAGUGGGUGGCACACAGCUGCUGGCAGAGUUGGAAAUGGUAAUAGUGCGAGUUGGGGAUCGUUAGGAGGUUUCCGUGGAGAAUGUUGAAAUAGAGUUGGAGUGUGAAGGGCAGGCAGUUGAGGGCAGCGGGGGUAGUUGGUAGGGAAGAUGAGUGUUUUAGAUAUCUGAGAAAAGACACAGACAGGACCGAAGGGUGGUCUGGAAUUACAGGCUCCCCAGGGGACAGUGGGUUAGAUGGUUGCAGAGCUGGAGACAUACUUGGGCUCAGCAAGGUCUGAGACGUUUGUGCUUUAUCCCAGGGGUCACGUGAGGUAAGAAAGGGGAUUUGGUAAGUCUAGGGAAAUCAUUUUGUAGACUUUGGUUCACUUACAAGGUUUUUUUAAAAAAUAAUAGUUUAGGUUUUUUCUCCUUAAUUACAUAAAUGGUGUAAGUUGAUUAGAGCAAAUUUGUAAACUGCAGAAAAGUGAGAAAAAUCUUCCUCAUUGAGACUUUUGCAUGAGCUUUGAAAUCGUUGUUCUGCUGAGUAGCUUUGGUUUUCCGUGUCGUGGCUUUGGGAACCCAUGACGCCGUCCACCUCUGUCCUUGUCCAUCGACUUGCCUUCCUCCCCUGCAGACCUUGGCCGGGCUCCUCCACGGAGAGCCAGGACAAGCCUAUCUGCAUCCCGGGCACCUGGCAGGGCCAGGAUGUGUUAGUCUGUGGAAUCCAUCCGUGGUCUCUAAUGCCACAAGGACUGCUGGACAGAAGGAAGGGCAAGCCUGCGUCAGGGCAAGAUUUGAACAGCAUCUCGAGCUACAGGGACGAGAACUAACCGGAAGUGAGGAGGAGGGCCGGUGUGCAGCACGGAGCUGUGUGGGGGGGUGAUAGACACACCAAAAAAUGUAUGAGCUUUGGUUUCAAAUGGACUAGCCCAGUAAUUCUCAACAUCACCAGAGGACUUAGAAGGGCAUAUUCCUGGCUUCCGUUUCAGGCCUGCUGAAGCAGAAGCGCUGGGACUGAGGCCCACAGUCCAGCAAGGACUCCGAGUGACUGAUAAACGCUCGGAUGUGAAAACCACUGGAAGAGCGGGGAGACUCCGGGACGGUGCCGCCCGGAGAGCAAGGCUGAGAUGGAAAGCCCCGAGAUACGUGAUGUCAGUGAUCACAACCAAUGAGGGGCCGCAGUAGCCAAAAUAGGAAAGCUAGGAAAAUAAGAGUAUAGUGUUACAAAGCAAACUGAAUGUGCUGUAAAUGGACAAGAUCCAUUUAUCUCGUUCAGAUAGCUGCCUCCCUGAUCUUAGCAGUUAAGUAGAUUAAAACUAGACUAGCUCGGGCAGGGAGAGGACUCCUGCUCUGCGCGUUCUCAUAGCCUCGUAACUAAACUGCUCUGCUUGCUGUCUCAUAGGCGCCUCAGGUCCCCAAAACCACCGAGUGUGUUAUCUCCCCCUUCUGACCUGUGUCUCUGCAUGCAUUUCC